AUGGCCGAGUGGUGUAAGGCGCCAGACUCAAGUUCUGGUCCUCUAACGAGGGCGUGGGUUCAAACCCCACUUCUGACAUUUUCUUUAUUCCCUUUUUAUGGCUUUAUAAAAAAGUUAUACUCCCUUUGUCCCGUAAUGUAA
rnacentral:rRNA from 1 species